UCCUGGGCAACCAUGCUCAGGUGGGAUGAACAAGGGUUAAAGCCAGCUUGGCUCUCCCCUCAACCUCCUGUGCCCAGAUUCAAUCAUCUUCAAUCUAUCUGUGCUCUUGCUUCACAUGUGUGGAAGAGGGCAAAAUACGUAAGCCUUUCAUUUUAUCUUGUAUGCCUGUUAGAAAAUGCAAAAAUCCAACCAGAAAGCUGGGUAUGGAGGACACAUUGAACUUCAGUCAUCAGGCUACUGACCCCACGAUAGGUAACUCAAUACUAUUAGAACUUUUGAUGCAAAAGUCUUCAAGAAUGGUCAACAGAAAAUAUUGACAACACAUGUGCUGACUACAUUCUACCAAGAGGAAAAGAAGAACUUCUUGCAGAGAAGGAGAAAGGAUGCUGGAAGUCUACUCCAGCACUUACUAAUAGAGUGUAACAAAUUAUGGGGUUUUAGAAAUUCAAUUUAGCUCUCAACAUGCGCCGUUUCACCACCUGCGUACACAAGAGUCACACCCACACGAGUUCCCUCUGCCAGCUCCAUCUCGUCCCUCCUCCUCAUUAGCCAACACCUAAUUACAUACUAAUUGGCUCAGAGAACACAAGCUUGUUAUUGCACUAAAAACACUCAGAGCUCCCCCACAGACAGAUUCUCAUGAAAACCAAAUAUAAAAGGAGUUGGCCUUGUGCCUGGUUUUCAUCAAGACAUAGCUAGAUUCUUCUAGCUCCUUCCUGGCCACAAAGUUAGGCUUCGCUCUUAUGCUUCUGUGAAGUAAUUUUCUUCAGGGACACAUUGAAGUAGUUAGUACCAGCCAAAUGGACCGAACCAGAUUUGAGUGUGUCAUAACCAUAACAAUUUCAUAAAUAAAGGACUUCACAAUGACCUUGAUCAUUAUAUGACUGCUUCGUUAGUCAUAGAGAGCCACAGUUAAUCAGGAACAGUUUCUCAUUAAACUUACUAUUGUUCUCCCCUUGUGAUCUCUAGAUGUCAAUAUUCUCCCACUAUUGCUACCUCAGAUUAGACAAACUGACUUUCUAAACUCAUUUGAGAGCAUGAACAUGCUUUCUCUUUGCUGAACUUUCUCUUCUCCCAACAAAAACAUAGCAAACAGUUUCUAUUAUCACAGCAUAGUUACGUGAGCUGUGAUUAAUGGCAUAGAAGCCAUAGGAGUAUGUUUUGAGAUGCAGGUUUCAAAGCUGUUCGAUUUUUCUCAACCAAGUUCUGGCAUUGUAAUUGCCAGUGAUAGGCAGCCCCACAGAGGAGACAUUGCAAAAUACAGAGGACCACUUGUGCAAACAAGGACCACUUGUGGUACAAUUUAUCUCCCAUAGUCCACUGGUGUGGGAGAGGUGGAGGUAACACUAGAGAGAAGACUGUUGUCAUGCUAGGAAGCAGAAAUCACUGCCAUGGCUAAAAUAAUUAGGAGCAAGGGAAAUAGAAGCCCCAAGCUGUAUCCUUCUAUCCAAAUGAGCCACUGACUGAGGCCAAUUGUACACAUAAAGAAAAUCUGGAACCUUGGAAGAAAUUUAUAUACAGAUUGUAGUUGCUAGCCUUUAAAGGGGCUGAGAUGGGAUUUCCUAUUUGGAAACAUGGGAAUUCUUACAAUGUUAUCCAAUAAAAUUCCAGGAGAAUUCAAACAUCUCUUAUAUGAUGCUGCCAUUAUUCUAUGAACAACUGUAGACAUCGAAAAGCUACUUUGCAAUUCCAUUGUCUUUAAGGAAGUUUUAACUUUUAUAUACUCAUUUAAGUAUUAUAAAAUGGCAGCUGACAAUUAUAUAUGUGUAACUCUAUUUGGUCUUUAAAGAUUCAGAUAUUUUUCAUUUAAAGCUCAUACUUGAAGCCUACAUUCAACAGCCACAGAAGGAAUCCUCAGGUGCUGGGAUGAUGCUGUAGUCCCCCAUUCCUUAAUGUUAAAGUUCCUCAUAUGAGAAAGUUUAACACCUAGUUAAUAAAUACAUAGAGUAAAAUGACGGCAACAGGGGACUAGUGAGUAGAGAGACUGGGGAGAUGCUGGUCAAAGAACAUUUAGUGGGACAGAAGAUACACUACAGAGUUCAUAUUAAAAAAUACACUAGAGCACCCUUAAAAAUUGUUUGGAGAGUAGAUUUUAAAACUUUUCUUAUUGUUACAAAAACAGAUAAUUAUAUGGGAUAAUACAUAUGUUAAUGGCAUUAUUGCCAGACUGUCUCUGACCCACCUGCCACCCAAGUAAUGAAACUGAGACCUUUUAUUAAUUAUGACAGCUUAGCCUUCGCUUAAGCUUGUUCCAACUAGCUCAUAACUUAUGUUAAUCCAUUAUUAGUAUACUAAUUCACAUCCUGCCACAUUGCUUGUUACUUCUCCUCAGUACCGGCACCUGUUUCUUUUUCUCUUUCUGGGGUGGUGAAUCUCUCCUCCUCACCUCCAUGGCUGAUGCACUAAUCUCCCCACCCCCACCCCCAGAAUAUUUUCCAGAGUUACUAACUGUCCAAAAGUCCCGCCUAUCCUUCCCAGGAUUGCUAUAGGCCCUCCAGCUCUUUAUUAAACCAAUCUGAAGGCGUUAAAGGGAGUGUUUACAAGGUAUGAUGCAGCCAUAUAAAAACACUAAGUCCUGUCUGCACUCAACUCUGCUGGCACAGAAUUCAGCAUUUGAAUAAUACAAAGACAAUCUUUGCACAGUGCACCAAAAGACCACCCCAACAUGGUACUAACUUAGACAUUCUGCAAAUAAAACAUUACGUAAAAAUGAAUGAUGUACAAAUAUUAUUUGCUAUUUUUAAUUAAAAAGAAAUUAAAAUUAAUUAAAAGAAGAAGAAAAAUCUUUAAAAGCUUCCCCUGCCAUUGAAUCAAAAAUACAUACUUUCACGAGGAAAGAUUCAACAAUCUAAUGGCAGAAGCAAAUUUCCUCAACUCAACAGAAGCAUCGGUAUUCUUUCCUUUUCUUGCUGUGAUCAAAUGCCUUAUCAGAAGCAUCUUAUGGGAAAGGGGUCUGGAAUUGUUCCAACUUUGUGUGAGCAGUCCAUCAUGACUGGGAAGAAUUUUCAGCUGGGAUGUUAGGUAGCUGGCCAUACUGUGUCCACAGUCAGGAAGCCUGGAGAUGAGUUCUGCUGUAGGCAUCAUUCUUCUUUUAAUUCAUGCCAGGACCAUGGCACAUAGUACUACACACAUGCAGUUAAGUCUUCCUGGUUAUAUCUUCAUAAAGAUAUAUAUUCAUAAAGAUAUAUAUUCAUAAAAAUAUAAAAAUAUAAUAAAUAAAGAUAAAAAUAUAAAUAUUUUAUAAAGAUAUAAAAAUAUAAAUAUAAUUCAUAAAGAUAUAAAAAAUAUAAAUAUAAAGAGAUGUGUUUUCACAAUGAUUCUAAAUCUAGUCAACUUGUCAAUGAAGAUCAAUCCUUACAUCUAAAAACACCAAUGACUAGUUUUAUAACUAUGCAAAAUAUUUUCUUCACAGACAGAACAAAGACAAAUAUUCUGAUGUCCAUCCAACAUCUUGCAUUCUAAGGAGAGUUUCUAGCCAAUGAAGCAAAAAGAAGGAAAACUAUCAAGUUUAGUAAUGAUACAAUAGAAAUUAUGUCUUCAAGACUCCAUGAAAAGAUUUUAGAGCUAAUAAGUUCAGAAAUGUUGCAGGAAAUCAAUCUAAAAAAUUCAGUUGCAAUUCCAACUGUUAGCAGUUAAAAAUCCAAAGCUGGAAAUUAAUAAAAGAAUUAUAUUUGUAAUAGUAUCUAAAUGAAUAAAGUACUUUGUAUAAACUUAAUGAAAGAAGAGCAAAAUUGAUGUAUUAAUAAAACACAGCAUUUGCCGCAGACCCUCUUGGUCCCUUGUCUGCGUGGAACGAGUCUCUAGUUGCAUGUGGGCAAGGAGUCGGCGGGAAUUGACAGACAGACUCUGACAGAAGGGAGUGUGGAUCUGAACGUAAUUUUUCAAAUCGAGCAUCAAACUGUUUAUACAGAACAAAAUAGGGAAGUUGGGUAACACACCGGCAAGGUACAAAGAGGUUACUGGAUUCUUACACAAAACAGGAAUGCAAACAGGGAAGGACUGGCGGGAACCAACUGGGAUAAAAUUCAAUGUUAACAACUGAGAUCAAAAACAGCUCCACCUAAGGUCCACUUAAUCUUAGAAGCCAGGAGCAAGGGCUUUGUGCCCUUGCCAUAGUUCCUACUCUAGUCUAUUGUAUAGUCCACCUUCCCCCUAGGCCAUUGUAAAUACUUGUGCAAGGGUGUAACUCAGCUAUCUAUAGUUCUAAGUAUCUACUCUGGUUCCUCUUUAGGUCACAAACUUCCUUCUUCCUAAAUAAUGGUAAAUUUCUGUGUAGGGCAGUGACUUAGCUAUCCAUGCCCAAGGUCAGAUCAAGGACUGCCUAAAAUCUAACUUAGCUAUAUGUCAAAAUAUCAAUCCUUAAGAGCACUUGUAAUAAAGCAAUAUUAAGGCAAAGCACACAGAUCCGUUUACCAACUAAAGCAAGGACAUUGGAGCAUUCUUUAUACAGGAUGCCAUGAUUCCAGGAGACUAAGUUUCCAUGAACUUUUCGCCUCCGGACAGCACCCAGGUUUUGG
rnacentral:lncRNA from 1 species